AUCGAACGCUGGCGGCAUGCCUAACACAUGCAAGUCGAACGAGACCUUCGGGUCUAGUGGCGCACGGGUGCGUAACACGUGGGAAUUUGCCUCGGGGUAUGGAAUAACUCAGGGAAACUUGAGCUAAUACCAUAUAAUGUCUUCGGACCAAAGAUUUAUCGCCCUGAGAUAAGCCCGCGUAGGAUUAGCUAGUUGGUGGGGUAAAGGCUCACCAAGGCGACGAUCCUUAGCUGGUCUGAGAGGAUGAUCAGUCACACUGGAACUGAGACACGGUCCAGACUCCUACGGGAGGCAGCAGUGGGGGAAUUUUGGACAAUGGGCGCAAGCCUGAUCCAGCAAUGCCGCGUGCAGGAUGAAGGCCUUCGGUU
rnacentral:rRNA from 1 species